rnacentral:lncRNA from 1 species
GCCAACACGGCGGUGUGCGCUUGCGUGGUACGCGGGGCCGUGCGCAGGCGUGGGGACCUGUAACUAUGGAAACCGUAAGUCCCGGGAAAAUCGGUUGUCUCCUGGGCUGGUUGAAGUGUAAGUCAACACCAUUUCAUCGUCACUAUUCUACUGGUUUCAUGGGUGUGUCACAGCAGAGGAGGGUCAUCAAAAGAAUCCCAUUAAUGAACCCUACCACCAUAGCUGACCAUCAAAUCCUGGCUCUUCCACUUCCCAAGUGUUCAGACUACUGCAUAUGUGUCUCAAGAUCGGCAUUUCUCAGUUCUUGA